rnacentral:rRNA from 1 species
CCUACGGGUGGCAGCAGUGGGGAAUAUUGCACAAUGGGGGAAACCCUGAUGCAGCGACGCCGCGUGGAGGAAGAAGGCCUUCGGGUUGUAAACUCCUGUCGUAAGGGACGAUAGUGACGGUACCUUACAAGAAAGCCACGGCUAACUACGUGCCAGCAGCCGCGGUAAAACGUAGGUGGCAAGCGUUGUCCGGAAUUACUGGGUGUAAAGGGAGCGCAGGCGGGUCUGCAAGUUGGAAGUGAAACCCAUGGGCUCAACCCAUGAACUGCUUUCAAAACUGCGGAUCUUGAGUGGUGUAGAGGUAGGCGGAAUUCCCGGUGUAGCGGUGGAAUGCGUAGAUAUCGGGAGGAACACCAGUGGCGAAGGCGGCCUACUGGGCACUAACUGACGCUGAGGCUCGAAAGCAUGGGUAGCAAACAGGAUUAGAUACCCCAGUAGUC